rnacentral:rRNA from 1 species
AGUGAACGCUGGCGGUAGGCCUAACACAUGCAAGUCGAACGGCAGCACAGGAGAGCUUGCUCUCUGGGUGGCGAGUGGCGGACGGGUGAGGAAUACAUCGGAAUCUACUUUUUCGUGGGGGAUAACGUAGGGAAACUUACGCUAAUACCGCAUACGACCUACGGGUGAAAGCAGGGGACCUUCGGGCCUUGCGCGAUUGAAUGCGCCGAUGUCGGAUGAGCUAGUUGGCGGGGUAAAGGCCCACCAAGGCGACGAUCCGUAGCUGGUCUGAGAGGAUGAUCAGCCACACUGGAACUGAGACACGGUCCAGACUCCUACGGGAGGCAGCAGUGGGGAAUAUUGGACAAUGGGCGCAAGCCUGAUCCAGCCAUACCGCGUGGGUGAAGAAGGCCUUCGGGUUGUAAAGCCCUUUUGUUGGGAAAGAAAUCCAGCUGGCUAAUACCCGGUUGGGAUGACGGUACCCAAAGAAUAAGCACCGGCUAACUUCGUGCCAGCCGCCGCGGUAA